rnacentral:lncRNA from 1 species
ACAUACUCUUACGGUAAUCUGGUGUGGGCGACCAGUUAGCAGCUCAGCCUGCCGGUCUGUCUGUCUUCAAGGCGCUCUCGAGGUUCUUUCUUCACCUUGCCUGAUCUUUAGGGACUUUAAGAGGCUCAUCUGAUGUCCCUUCUUUUCAAGUCUUUGGGAAAAGCCUGUCUAUAGUCUAAAUGCAAAUACCACAGAUUAGUUACUAGUAGAUCAUGUGCUAAAUUAUUCAAGUAAUUUAAUUACUUAAUGGGAAGAAUAACACCCUCCCCCUCUUUUGGGAGGGAGUAGACCUUGAGGAGGUCAGCACAUACCCAAGUCUGAUACAUUUUUAAUGUGAGAGGUGUGUUAGUAGUGAGAGGUGAAGCCAGCUGGACUUCCUGGGUCGAGUGGGGACUUGGAGAACUUUCCUGUCUCACAAGAGGAUUGUAAAACGCACCGAUCAGCGAUCUGUAGCUAGCAAGAGGUUUGUAAAAUGCACCAAUCAGCGCUCUGUAAAAAUGCACCAUUCAGCGCUCUGUAGCUAGCUCAAGGUUUGUAAAAUGGAUCAAUCAGUGCUCUGUAAAAUGGACCUAUCAGCACUCUGUAAAAUGGACCAAUCAGUGCUCUGUAAAAUAGACCAAUGGGCACUCUGUAAAAUGGACCAAUCAGCAGGACAUGGGCGGGGACAAAUAAGGGAAUAAAAGCUGGCCACCCCCCAGCCGGCACAGGCAACCCAGGUCUCCUUCCACAUUGUGGAAGUUUUGGUCUUUCAUUCUUCGCAAUAAAUCUUGCUGCUGCUCACUGUUUGUGUCCGGCCCAUCUUUAAGAGCUGAAACACUCACGGCAAAAGUCCGCAGCUCCAUUCUUGAAGUCAGCAAGACCACGAAUCCACCGGAAGGAACCAAUUCUGGACACAAUAGGGGCUUAUGAUCAGGCAAAGGAGACACCAGGAAAGAGGAGCAGAGUGGCUAGGGCAGUGCACUGCAGAUGCAUGGACGAAAGCUCGCAGCGACACAGGUAUGGGGUGUCUAAUCAGGGAUGAGUGUGAGCAGCAGAAUGAGGAGCAUGCUUUCCCAGAGGAAGAGAGGAAGCCACUGGAGAGAUGAAGGAUGCCAUGGACAGGAGGUGGUGUCUCUGGAGCCGCCGAGCAGCAGCCUCAUUGCUCAGAAGAUGAAGAUGCUGACGAAGACCCAGACAGGAAAAAAGGAAGAAAAAGCAUCCUGAUUGUUCCAUUAGCAAAGCCACAGUCCCGGAGAGCAAGGGGAGGGGCACAGCAGGCAGCCGCACCCAUGGGAUGCAUCUGCAGCUUGUGAGCAAUGCAUGAAAGAUGAAUCACACAGCAGCAAUGCCUUCAGCUUCCGUGUGCUAUGGCUCACUCAGCACCAGCUCUGCAGGCUGCCUAAGCCAGAAGUCAGUCUCUGCCUUUAGACUUGCUCACUUCUUUUAGGAACGGAGAUAUCCUCUGAUCCCUUGUCCUACAACCUCGAUUAAUAUCUUUCCAACAGCCAUCUGCCAAACUCAAGAAGACCCUGGAACAACCUAAUUGGAAAAGUUUCCAUCUUAUCCCUUGGAAAACUAUAGAAAAGUAGUGUCACACAAAUGUUUAAUUUCUGAUUUCUACAAUUUCAGAUACCAGAGUUUAUCUGUUACCAUGACAACUAACAGCUUUAUAAAUGUUUUCUAGCCUCUGCUAUUUUCUGGAACUUAUCUACAUUUCAGUAUUUGCUUAAUAAUUUUGAGCUGACACUAGCAACAUAAUUGUGUCUGGAUUGUGUAUGUGUAUGUCUUGUGUGUGUUGGCAGGGGGUGGGUAUAACCUAUGUCAGUGUUUUUCAAUGUGAGCAA